UCCGGCUUGUCACCGGCGGUCUCGUCAGAGUGCCCAACUUAAUGAUGGCAACAGACGAUAAGGGUUGCGCUCGUUGCGGGACUUAACCCAACAUCUCACGACACGAGCUGACGACAGCCAUGCAGCACCUGUCACUUCCCCGGCCGAACCGAAAAGGGGCGUCUCUGCCCCUCCCAAGAAGGAUGUCAAGUGUGGGUAAGGUUCUUCGCGUUGCGUCGAAUUAAAGAACAUGCUCCACCGCUUGUGCGGGUCCCCGUCAAUUCCUUUGAGUUUUAACCUUGCGGCCGUACUCCCCAGGCGGUGUGCUUAAUGGUUUCCCUCCGCCGCCGAGACUCUGAGAGUCCCAACAGCUAGCACACAUAGUUUACAGCGUGGACUAC
rnacentral:misc_RNA from 1 species